UACGUAGGUGGCGAGCGUUGUCCGGAUUUACUGGGCGUAAAGAGCGCGCAGGCGGUCGUUCAAGUCGCGUGUGAAAGCCCCCGGCUCAACUGGGGAGGGUCACGCGAUACUGAUCGACUCGAAAGGCAGGAGAGGGUAGUGGAAUUCCCGGUGUAGUGGUGAAAUGCGUAGAUAUCGGGAGGAACACCAGUGGCGAAGGCGACUACCUGGCCUGUUCUUGACGCUGAGGCGCGAAAAGCUAGGGGAGCAAACGGG
rnacentral:rRNA from 1 species